rnacentral:misc_RNA from 1 species
AACGCACGAGACCUGCGGACCUGCGGAAGGAUCAUUACUGUAACGGGGCGCACCCGCUCGCUUCGGCGGGCGUGGGAGCGCCCUUGCCUUACAACCCUUGUCUAUGAGCACCUCUUGUUUCCUCGGCGGGUCCGCCCGCCAGAGGACCUACCCAAAACCCUUUGCAAUACCUGCAGUACUGUCUGAUAGCGAAAGCAAUUUAAAUCAAAACUUUCAGCAACGGAUCUCUAGAUCGGAAGA